GGCCGCGCCCUGCAGAUUGUCUCUUGUUGCGUAGGUUUUUUUGACCGUCGCUCGUGUCAGCUUCAAAGUCAGAUAGAUUUUUCUCCCAGCAUGUUCUACUUCCGAGGCUGUGGCCGUUGGGUCGCGGCUUCUUUCACCAAGCAGCAAUUUCCGUUGGCACGGUUGAGCAGUGACAGCGCGGCGCCCCGGACUCCGCACUUCGACGUGAUAGUCAUUGGUGGAGGACAUGCCGGGACUGAGGCAGCCACCGCCGCUGCUCGGUGCGGCUCUCGGACUCUGCUCCUCACUCACCGCGUGGACACGAUCGGUCAGAUGUCAUGUAAUCCUUCCUUUGGUGGCAUCGGAAAGGGACAUUUAAUGAGGGAAGUAGAUGCCUUGGAUGGCCUGUGUUCUCGCAUCUGUGACCAGUCUGGUGUACAUUAUAAAGUAUUAAACCGGCGUAAGGGACCAGCUGUGUGGGGUCUGAGAGCUCAGAUUGAUAGGAAACUCUAUAAACAGAACAUGCAGGUAAGAAUAGGGCAUGAGCACAGGAAAGAUUAUGGUGAUUGUUUAAUUACCAUGUUUCAACUGGCAUUUUCUUUUGACAGAAAGAAAUCUUGAAUACACCACUGCUUACUGUUCAGGAGGGAGCUGUAGAAGAUCUUAUUCUUACAGAACCAGAGCCUGAACACACUGGGAAAUGCCGUGUCAGUGGGGUUGUUUUGGUGGAUGGAAGCACAGUAUAUGCAGAGAGUGUGAUUCUGACUACUGGGACAUUUCUGAGAGGCAUGAUUGUAAUUGGAUUGGAGACGCAUCCAGCAGGACGUUUAGGGGAUCAGCCUUCUAUAGGAUUGGCUCAGACACUGGAGAAGUUAGGGUUUGUGGUGGGAAGGUUGAAGACUGGGACUCCACCCCGAAUUGCCAAAGAGUCCAUUAAUUUCAGUAUUCUAAACAAGCAUAUACCGGACAAUCCAUCCGUACCAUUCAGCUUUACCAAUGAGACAGUAUGGAUUAAGCCAGAAGAUCAGCUGCCAUGUUACUUGACUCACACCAACCCUAGAGUGGAUGAGAUUGUCCUUAAGAACCUUCACCUUAAUAGUCAUGUUAAAGAAACGACAAGAGGACCUCGGUAAGGACAAAAUGUCAGUGCUCAGUUACUUUAAGGAAUGAUGUCAAUCCUCUUUUGUUCAUUUCAAGUUUAUUUAAAUGUUCUAUUCUAGAUACUGUCCCUCCAUUGAAUCAAAAGUUUUGCGUUUUCCAAACCGUCUACAUCAGGUUUGGUUGGAACCUGAAGGAAUGGAUUCUGACCUUAUCUACCCACAGGGGUUAUCUAUGACGCUACCAGCUGAGUUACAAGAGAAAAUGAUCACAUGCAUCAGAGGCUUGGAGAAAGCUAAAGUGAUUCAGCCAGGCUACGGUGUUCAGUAUGAUUACUUAGAUCCCCGUCAGAUCACUCCUUCCCUGGAGACUCAUUUGGUUCAACGACUCUUCUUUGCUGGACAGAUCAAUGGCACCACUGGUUAUGAGGAAGCUGCAGCUCAAGGUGUGAUAGCUGGAAUCAACGCCAGUCUUCGGGUCAGUCGCAAGCCUCCCUUUGUGGUUAGCCGAACAGAAGGUUACAUAGGAGUCUUGAUUGAUGACCUCACUACUCUGGGCACCAGUGAACCAUACCGCAUGUUUACCAGCCGAGUAGAGUUCCGUUUGUCACUGCGCCCUGAUAAUGCUGACAGCCGGCUCACACUGCGAGGGUAUAAAGACGCUGGCUGUGUGUCCCAACAACGAUAUGAAAGAGCUUGUUGGAUGAAGUCUUCUUUAGAAGAAGGCAUUUCUGUGUUGAAAUCUAUUGAGUUUUUGAGCUCUAAAUGGAAAAAAUUAAUCCCAGAGGCUUCUAUAAGUACUAGUAGAAGUCUGCCUGUCAGAGCUCUCGAUGUUCUGAAGUAUGAGGAAGUUGACAUGGAUUCAUUAGCCAAGGCUGUUCCAGAGCCCUUGAAGAAGUAUACUAAAUGUAGAGAGCUGGCUGAAAGACUGAAAAUAGAAGCCACUUAUGAAUCAGUGUUGUUCCAUCAACUACAAGAAAUAAAGGGAGUUCAGCAAGAUGAAGCUCUCCAACUGCCAAAAGACCUAGAUUAUUUGACUAUCAGGGAUGUGUCUUUGUCCCAUGAAGUUCGAGAGAAACUACAUUUUAGUCGUCCACAGACGAUCGGGGCUGCUAGUCGCAUACCCGGAGUAACACCUGCUGCCAUCAUCAAUCUGCUGAGAUUUGUGAAGACCACUCAACAAAGACAGGCGGCUAUGAAUGAAUCAUCCAAGACUGAUCAAUACUUAUGUGAUGCAGACAGACUUCAAGAGAGAGAGUUAUAGCUUUCAAUUCAUAAAAGAUUUUUAAAGAGCAUAUAAAUAAUUUGAUCAAUACAACAGUAUAGAUAAAAGAAUUAUUUAGCACAUGUUAAAAUAGCUUUAUUAGGUUACUGUGGGUUUGCCAUUAAUUUCUGAGUGGGACAGAAAUUAUAAUUGUGCUUUUUCGUGUAUAUGAAAAAACUAGUCGUAAACAAUUUGUACUCUUUCUUUAAGGAGCUGUAAUACAAAUAACUUUGUGCAGUGUUCAUCAAAGAGAGAGACAGUGAACCUAAAACUGAACCUGGAAUAAAACUCAACAUGCAGAUUUGCCUACUCAUAGGGACUUUGCCUAUUAAGUCUACCAAAUUAAAAGUCUUAUCAUUCA
rnacentral:sRNA from 1 species